rnacentral:piRNA from 1 species
GCCGGGUGUUGGUGGCUCAUGCCUU